rnacentral:rRNA from 1 species
UCCCCUAGUACGGCGAGUGAAGCGGGAACAGCUCAAUUUGAAAGCUGGCCUUCUGGUCCGCAUUGUAAUUUGUAGAGGAUGCUUUUGGCGCGGUGCCUUCUGAGUUCCUUGGAACAGGACGCCUUAGAGGGUGAGAGCCCCGUACAGUUGGACACCUAGCCUUUGUAAAGCUCCUUCGACGAGUCGAGUAGUUUGGGAAUGCUGCUCUAAAUGGGAGGUAAAUUUCUUCUAAAGCUAAAUACCGGCCAGAGACCGAUAGCGCACAAGUAGAGUGAUCGAAAGAUGAAAAGCACUUUGAAAAGAGGGUUAAAUAGCACGUGAAAUUGUUGAAAGGGAAGCGCUUAUGACCAGACUUUUUCCUGGCGGAUCAUCCGGCGUUCUCGCCGGUGCACUUCGCCAGGUUUAGGCCAACAUCGAUUUCCGCCGGGGGAUAAAGGCUUCGGGAAUGUGACUCCCUCCGGGGAGUGUUAUAGCCCGUUGCGUAAUACCCUGGUGGGGAUCGAGGUUCGCGCUUCGGCAAGGAUGUUGGCAUAAUGGUCAUCAGUGACCCGUCUUGAAACACGGACCAAGGAGUCGAACAUUUGUGCGAGUGUUUGGGUGUCAAACCCUCACGCGUAAUGAAAGUGAACGGAGGUGAGAGCCUUAGGGUGCAUCAUCGACCGAUCCUGAUGUCUUCGGAUGGAUUUGAGUAAGAGCAUAAAUGUUCGGACCCGAAAGAUGGUGAACUAUGCGUGGAUAGGGUGAAGCCAGAGGAAACUCUGGUGGAGGCUCGCAGCGGUUCUGACGUGCAAAUCGAUCGUCAAAUCUGCGCAUGGGGGCGAAAGACUAAUUCG